rnacentral:lncRNA from 1 species
GAAAAUAAACUCAGGCAGAAAUAUAAAAUAAUUAGACUUCAAAUUUGAGAUCUCAUAUAUCAACCGUCGAGCUCUUAACCAUCUAAGCUAGAUACCGUCGGUUGCCAAAUUUUACUCUUAAUAUUGCUAGCAAGUAUUAAAUUUGAAAGUUGUGAUGAUAAAGAAAUAAAACUUAUAAAUAGUUUUUAAAUUUGGAGUCUAGCUUGGGUCCUUCCAGAAGCAUGAAGGUCUCAAUGCUCCCAAAUUGUCUUUGACGAUAGAACUUUUGAAUAAUAGUUCUGUUAUAUUUGAUCUACAGUCAUUUGAAAUAUUUAGAAAAUAAUUUUGUGAUUUUUGAAUAUUAUUUAUCUAAUAAUCAAAAGGGCUCAAAAUCAAUAAUUUUAAUUGUCAACGUUAAAUGUUUGCAAGUUUAACUGUAUAAACAUAUUCAAAUCAGAUAAAAUUUUAAUAAAAAAUUCUAUAUACUAUUUAAAACAAAAUUGAUUUCUCUAAUCUAAAUUUUAGUAUUAUAUCAUUAUUUUUUUGGCUAAAUUACAUAAAACCUUCCUAUCAAAAGCCGAUUUUUCACUUUCCCUCUCUGUCAUUUAAAAACCUACACUUUGCCCCAUUGUAAAAUAAAAAAUGGUCAUAGGAGGGUACAGUGUAAACUGUGAUGACAAAAUAACUAUUUUACCCCUCACCAUUUUUGACAACAGAAGAAAAGGCUGAGGACAUUUUUGGUAUAAAAAAAAUAUAUAAUAAUAUUUUAUAAACGGAAAUCUAAUGGAUCACUAACGACAAGGGGUGAAGUGAAAAUUUUUUAUUUUAUAAGGGGGCAAAGUGUAGGUUUCUAAAUGACAAGGGGGAGUGAAAAAUCGGGAUUUGACAAGAAAAUUUUUUGUAAUUUAGCCUUAUUUUAAAAUAAAAUUUAGUAAAAAUAUCAAUAUAUGCAAGCAUCAAAAUUUUUUUACCAAACAGCUUCAGAAAAUUAUUUCAGAAAAAUCACUUUUAUCUAAACUCAGCCAAAUGCUCUACAGCUUUUCACCAAAAUUAAUUUUUCAAACUAAAAUCACUUUCGCAGAAAUCACUUUUCCAGAAGUUAAGCCAAACAUGCUCUAAAUCUAGAAAAAAAAGCAAAACCUAGUGAAUGUAUAAUUUUUGUAUAAAUCACGUAUUUGAAUAAUUUGUGAAUCUAUUUUUUAAAUCAUAUUUUUUAAUAAUUUAAAGAGUAAAAUUAAAAUUUUAUUUGAAAUAUAUCC